rnacentral:rRNA from 1 species
CCCGCACAAGCGGUGGAGCAUGUGGUUUAAUUCGACGCAACGCGAAGAACUUACCAGGGCUUGACAUCCCCUGACCGCGUAUGAAAGUACGUUUUCACCCUCGGGUGACAGGGAGACAGGUGGUGCAUGGUUGUCGUCAGCUCGUGUCGUGAGAUGUUGGGUUAAGUCCCGCAACGAGCGCAACCCCUACGUUUAGUUGCUAACAGGUGAAGCUGAGCACUCUAGACGAACUGCCGUUGACAAAACGGAGGAAGUGGGAUGACGUCAAAUCAUCAUGCCCCUUAUGUUCUGGGCUACACACGUGCUACAAUGGCCGGUACAGACGGAGGCGAAGCCGCGAGGCGGAGCAAAUCCGAAAAAGCCGGUCUCAGUUCGGAUUGCAGGCUGCAAUUCGCCUGCAUGAAGUCGGAAUCGCUAGUAAUCGCAGGUCAGCAUACUGCGGUGAAUACGUUCCCGGGCCUU